rnacentral:rRNA from 1 species
UACGGAGGGUGCGAGCGUUGUCCGGAAUUAUUGGGCGUAAAGGGCGCGUAGGCGGCGCCACAAGUCACUUGUGAAAACUCUGGGCUCAACUCAGAGCCUGCAAGCGAAACUGUGGUGCUGGAGUAUGGGAGAGGUGCGUGGAAUUCCCGGUGUAGCGGUGGAAUGCGUAGAGAUCGGGAAGAACAUCAGUGGCGAAGGCGGCCUGCUGGGCUGUUGCUGACGCUGAGGCGCGACAGCGUGGGGAGCAAACAGG